GAUGAACGCUAGCGGCAGGCCUAAUACAUGCAAGUCGAACGGUGUCUUCGGACAUAGUGGCGCACGGGUGCGUAACACGUAUGCAACCUACCUUACAUUGGGGGAUAGCCUUUCGAAAGGGAGAUUAAUACCGCAUAAGACAGUAGCUGGGCAUCCAGCAGCUGUUAAAGAUUUAUCGAUGUAAGAUGGGCAUGCGUCCAAUUAGUUAGUUGGCGAGGUAACGGCUCACCAAGACUUUGAUUGGUAGGGGAACUGAGAGGUCAAUCCCCCACACUGGCACUGAGAUACGGGCCAGACUCCUACGGGAGGCAGCAGUAGGGAAUAUUGGGCAAUGGACGCAAGUCUGACCCAGCCAUGCCGCGUGCAGGAUGAAGGCGUUAUGCGUUGUAAACUGCUUUUAUACAGGAAGAAACGACUCUUGCGAGAGGCAUUGACGGUACUGUAUGAAUAAGCACCGGCUAACUCCGUGCCAGCCGCCGCGGUAACAC
rnacentral:rRNA from 1 species